AUACGGAGGAUCCAAGCGUUAUCCGGAUUUAUUGGGUUUAAAGGGUGCGCAGGCGGCCUUAUAAGUCAGUGGUGAAAUCUCCCGGCUCAACCGGGAAACUGCCAUUGAUACUGUAAGGCUAGAAUACAGACGAGGUAGGCGGAAUGUAGCAUGUAGCGGUGAAAUGCUUAGAUAUGCUACAGAACACCAAUCGCGAAGGCAGCUUACCAGACUGUAAUUGACGCUAAGGCACGAAAGCGUGGGGAGCGAACAGGAUUAGAAACCCUAGUAGUCC
rnacentral:rRNA from 1 species